GAUGAAGAACGCAGCAAAAUGCGAUAAGAAAUGUGAAUUGCAGAAUUCAGUGAAUCAUCGAAUCUUUGAACGCACAUUGCGCCCGCUGGUAUUCCGGCGGGCAUGCCUGUUCGAGCGUCAUUUCAACCCUCAAGCCCCCGGGUUUGGUGUUGGGGAUCGGCUCUGCCCUUCUGGGCGGUGCCGCCCCCGAAAUACAUUGGCGGUCUCGCUGCAGCCUCCAUUGCGUAGUAGCUAACACCUCGCAACUGGAACGCGGCGCGGCCAUGCCGUAAAACCCCAACUUCUGAAUGUUGACCUCGGAUCAGGUAGGAAUACCCGCUGAACUUAAGCAUAUCAAUAGCGGAGGA
rnacentral:misc_RNA from 1 species